rnacentral:rRNA from 1 species
GAUGAACGCUGGCGGCGUGCCUAAUACAUGCAAGUCGAGCGAACAGACGAGGAGCUUGCUUCUCUGACGUUAGCGGCGGACGGGUGAGUAACACGUGGAUAACCUACCUAUAAGACUGGGAUAACUUCGGGAAACCGGAGCUAAUACCGGAUAAUAUAUUGAACCGCAUGGUUCAAUAGUGAAAGACGGUUUUGCUGUCACUUAUAGAUGGAUCCGCGCCGCAUUAGCUAGUUGGUAAGGUAACGGCUUACCAAGGCAACGAUGCGUAGCCGACCUGAGAGGGUGAUCGGCCACACUGGAACUGAGACACGGUCCAGACUCCUACGGGAGGCAGCAGUAGGGAAUCUCCCGCAAUGGGCGAAAGCCUGACGGAGCAACGCCGCGUGAGUGAUGAAGGUCUUCGGAUCGUAAAACUCUGUUAUUAGGGAAGAACAAAUGUGUAAGUAACUAUGCACGUCUUGACGGUACCUAAUCAGAAAGCCACGGCUAACUACGUG